UACGUAGGGUGCGAGCGUUAAUCGGAAUUACUGGGCGUAAAGUGUGCGCAGGCGGCCGAGCAAGUCGAGUGUGAAAGCCCCGAGCUUAGCUUGGGAACUGCGCUCGAAACUACUUGGCUAGAGUGUGGCAGAGGGAGGUGGAAUUCCACGUGUAGCGGUGAAAUGCGUAGAGAUGUGGAGGAACACCGAUGGCGAAGGCAGCCUCCUGGGCCAACACUGACGCUCAUGCACGAAAGCGUGGGGAGCAAACAGG
rnacentral:rRNA from 1 species